AUUGAACGCUGGCGGCAGGCCUAACACAUGCAAGUCGAGCGGAUGAAGGGAGCUUGCUCCUGGAUUCAGCGGCGGACGGGUGAGUAAUGCCUAGGAAUCUGCCUGGUCGUGGGGGAUAACGUCCGGUAACGGGCGCUAAUCCCGCAUACGUCCUGAGGGAGAAAGUGGGGGAUCUUCGGACCUCACGCUAUCAGAUGAGCCUAGGUCGGAUUAGCUAGUUGGUGGGGUAAAGGCCUACCAAGGCGACGAUCCGUAACUGGUCUGAGAGGAUGAUCAGUCACACUGGAACUGAGACACGGUCCAGACUCCUACGGGAGGCAGCAGUGGGGAAUAUUGGGCAAUGGGCGAAAGCCUGAUCCAGCCAUGCCGCGUGUGUGAAGAAGGUCUUCGGAUUGUAAAGCACUUUAAGUUGGGAGGAAGGGCAGUAAGUUAAUACCUUGCUGUUUUGACGGUACCAACAGAAUAAGCACCGGCUAACUUCGUG
rnacentral:rRNA from 1 species